UGGGGAAUUUUGGACAAUGGGCGCAAGCCUGAUCCAGCCAUGCCGCGUGAGUGAAGAAGGCCUUGGGUUGUAAAGCUCUUUCGGCCGGGAAGAAAUCGUGGUCUCUAACAUAGGCCAUGGAUGACGGUACCGGACUAAGAAGCACCGGCUAACUACGUGCC
rnacentral:rRNA from 1 species